rnacentral:sRNA from 1 species
GGGAAUUUUGUGUGUUUUUUAUGCUCAUUUGUAGAUUGUUGGUGCAUUUUGGGGUUAGGGUUUCAAAUUGGGGUUUUGGGUUUCUGAUUCUAAUGUUUUUUGGUUCCUCGUGAUGGUUAGUGGUGGUUGCGCGAGUGACGUCAAUGGAGGCGUUGAUGGGUGCUUCCAGCGAUCUGAAAAUCUCAAUUUCUGAAAUUUGUUGCAAAAUUGGUUACUGCUAUGUUAUUGCCACUGGAUUGGGAAGCACAAGUGUUGGAUUGACUGUGUAGUGAAGGAUGGAGGUAUGUUUUUUAAGCUGAAUUUUAACAGCAACAAUUUCUUUUGAUUUCAUUCAUACUUUGUUGUACUUGUGAUAGAGGACUAAAAGUAUAUGUGAGGAAGAAUAAAGGCAGGAAGCAGAGAGUUUCUGUUAGCGGUUAGUUAGAGGGAAAGGGGAGUAUAAAUAAGGAGUUAGUUGUAAAGGGCGGGGAUUAUUCAAUUUGUAUUUUAU